ACUUUUUUCUUUUUCUUUUACUACAACAACAACAACACAUCAAGAGAGUGAAAAAGAUCUUAAAGUCCAAACUCAAUGAAGGAAAUACCAUCAAGGGCAAUUUCAGUUAUUAGAUACACAGCAGGAAUAGUGGCCUGGACUCAAGCAGAAUUAAAAGCAAUGGAUAGGAAGACCAGAAAAAUAAUGACAAUGAAACAUGCCCUUCAUUCUUGCAUCAACAUUGACAGACUCUACCUACCAAGGCAAAUAGGUGGAUGUGGAAUGUUGCAAGUACAUCAGAUGGUUGAAGAAGAAAAAAGGGCUUUUGAAAAAUAUCUGAAGGACAAUGAAGAAGAUGCACUGAAGUUAGUAUGCCAGGAAGAUUUGCUGACUACUGGCCUAUAAGAAAGACCAAAUGAAGAACAGAAUGGAGGCAUGGGAAGACAAAGCACUACAUGGCCAGUACAUUAAAAAAAAUAGCAGGGGAAGCAGAUAAUAACAGGACCUGGCAAUGGCUAAGAGCAGGAAAGUUAAAGAAAGAGACCGAAGGAUUAAUUCUGGCUGCACAAGACCAAGCCUUAAGGACAAAUGUAUACAAAGCCAGAAUUGAGAAGACAGCAACAGACAGUAAGUGCCAUCUAUGCAAAGAAGCUGUCAGCUAGCCUGCUGCUUACUGCUAUAGAAAAGAGGAAAGGGAUCAGUGGAGAAUUUUUCAUUGCAGCUUUGCAACUACAGCCUGGAUUUGUAGUAGCCUCUGGUUGCCUAGCUACAAGGGGGUUGGGCUGUACAGUUUGUUUCAAGUUGCUGUUUUCACGUCCUUUGCCUCAGAACUUGCCUGGAAUUUCUUGCUUUCAGUUCGUUCCUAGUAAAAGUACUUUUCUUUAAAUCUAUGGAGCCAAGGAUUUUUCUUUCCUAGGAAAUGGACAGAGGCAGCCCUGACAUAAGCUGAAGAAACAGUGGUCCACCAGGUCUGGAUAGUGGAAGUGCCUGGAGACAGCAGAAUAGAAGAGAAAGACUUGGAGAAGAUAACAAAAUACAAAAACCUACAAUAGAAAUAGAACAACUGUGACAAAGGCAAGCAAAGGUGGUCCCAAUUGUAAUAGAUGCCUUGGGUGCAAUCCCAAAACAACUGGAGUACCAUUUGAACACCAUAGGCAUUGACAAAUUUGCCAUCAGUCAAUUGCAGAAGGUGGCUUUACUUGGAACUGCUUCCAUCCUACGACGAUACCUGUAACACCAUCAAACAUCAAUUUUUGCCUAUCCUUGGUAAGGACUCAAUAGGUAGACAAAAAUACCAAGCCCAGUCUGAACAUCUGGCUGACUGUGCAAUGAUCAUCAUCAUAAUAACAACAACAACAACUAUCACCACCUUAGGAAGGACUUGAUAUCUGGAUAAAAAUGCCAGAUCUAAACAUCUGGCUGACAGCAACCAAUAAUAAUAAAUGUUGUCUCUUUUU